rnacentral:tRNA from 1 species
GCCCCAGUGGCUAAUGGAUAAGGCACUGGCCUCUAAGCCAGGGAUUGUGGGUUCGAGUCCCGUCUGGGGUGA